GCGGAUGGCUGGAUGACCGCGGGGUGCAAACCCCGAGGAAAGUCCGGACUCCAUGAAGGAAGGGUGCCGGGUAACGCCCGGCGGGGGUAACCCCAGGGAAAGCGCCACAGAGAAAAGACUGCCAUGGUGCCGGGUUCGCCCGGUGGGUCCAUGGUGAUGGUGAAACGGUGGGGUAAGAGCCCACCACGGUCUUGGUAACAAGAACGGUAUGGCAAGCCCCACCCGGAGCAAUGCCGAAUAGGGGCCUCGCGUGGUAAGGUCCGCGACUGGGAUCGGUGCAAGCCGAAACCGACAGCGGAGACCACCACAGGGACCUUUCAGCCCAGAGGCCCGGGUUGGCAGCUUGACUGCCCGUGGUAACACGGGUGGCAGAGGAAUGGUCAUCCAUGGGGCCCCGCCGCAAGGUAGGGCCCUGGGACAAAAUCCGG
rnacentral:RNase_P_RNA from 1 species